GUUGGUGUAACUCAGUGGUAGAGGUCAUGCUCUGUAUGUGUGAUGUCCUGGGUUCAAUCCCCAGCUUCUCCU